AUUGGGAUUCGACUAAGCCAUGCGAGUCGUGAGGGUUCGGCCCUCGGCGAACGGCUCAGUAACACGUAGAUAAUUUGCCCUUAGGUGGAGGAUACCCUCGGGAAACUGAGAAUAAUACUCCAUAGAUUUAGAAUGCUGGAAUGCUUUUAAAUUGAAAGAUUUAUCGCCUAAGGAUAAGUCUGCGGACUAUCAGGUCGUAGUUAGGGUAAAUACCUGACUAGCCUACGACGGAUACGGGUUGUGAGAGCACUAGCCCGGAGAUGAUAUCUGAGACACGAUAUCAGGCCCUACGGGGCGCAGCAGGCGCGAAAACUUCGCACUGUGCGAAAGCACGACGAGGGAAUCCCAAGUGCUGGCUCGUAAGAGUCAGCUGUUUCUUUGUCUAAAAAACAGAGAGAGUAAGAGCUGGGUAAGACGGGUGCCAGCCGCCGCGGUAAUACCUGCAGCUCAAGUGGUGGCCGCUAUUAUUGGGCCUAAAACGUCCGUAGCCGGUUCUAUAAAUGCCUGGGUAAAUCGUACGGCUUAACCGUACGAAUUCCGGGUAGACUGUUCAACUUGGGACCGGGAGAGGUUAGAGGUACUCCUGGGGUAGAGGUGAAAUUCUGUAAUCCUAGGGGGACCACCAGUGGCGAAGGCGUCUAGCUAGAACGGGUCUGACGGUGAGGGACGAACCCUGGGGAGCAAACGGGAUUAAUA
rnacentral:rRNA from 1 species